rnacentral:lncRNA from 1 species
AUGGCAGAGGGAGAUAAUCGCAGCACCAACCUGCUGGCUACAGAGACUGCAAGUCUGGAAGAAACAGCUGCAAGGAUGGGGAGAAGUGAUGCUGAUGCUGAUAAAGCCCUCUGAUGGGAAACAGCCUGGUUUCCACCUGCCGUCAUGGGUGUGGUUUCUUUGAUAUUUCUGAUUAUCUACUAUCUAGAUCCUUUGGCUGACUACCUUGUUCCCAUUCUGGUGUAGAAUUUUUGGCUCCAAUAAAUGCACCACUGAACAACAGCAAAGAUUCCAUGAAAUUUGCAGCAAUCUAGUAAAAACUCGACGCAGAGCUGUGGGUUGAUGGAAACGCCUCUUCACACUAAAGGAAGAAAAACCUAAGAUGUUCUUCAUGACCAUGAUCGUUUCCCUUGCUGAGGUUGCUUAGGUGGGACAGCAGGUCCACAACCUGCUUCUCACCUGCCUGAUAGUGACUUCCUUACUAUUGCUUCCUGGACUAAGCCAACAUGGAAUCAUUUCAAAGUACAUUGGAAUGGCCAAAAGGGAGCUAACCAAACUUCUCAAACAAAAAGAAUAGAAAAAUG